rnacentral:rRNA from 1 species
GAGUUUGAUCCUGGCUCAGGACGAACGCUGGCGGCGUGCUUAACACAUGCAAGUCGAACGAGAAUCUACUGAAAGAGUUUUCGGACAAUGGAAGUAGAGGAAAGUGGCGGACGGGUGAGUAACGCGUGAGGAACCUGCCUUGAAGAGGGGACAACAGUUGGAAACGACUGCUAAUACCGCAUGAUGCAUAAGGGUCGCAUGAUUCUUAUGCCAAAGAUUUAUCGCUUCAAGAUGGCCUCGCGUCUGAUUAGCUAGUUGGCGGGGUAACGGCCCGACCAAGGCGACGAUCAGUAGCCGGACUGAGAGGUUGAACGGCCACAUUGGGACUGAGAUACGGCCCAGACUCCUACGGGAGGCAGCAGUGGGGAAUAUUGGGCAAUGGGCGCAAGCCUGACCCAGCAACGCCGCGUGAAGGAAGAAGGCUUUCGGUAUGUAAACUUCUAUCAGCAGGAGAAAAUGACGGUACCUGACUAAGAAGCCCGGCGUAACUACGUGCCAGCAGCCGCAGU